ensembl:lncRNA
CUGCAGCCCUUCUCUUGCCCCGCACACAGGUAGGAGAGCCUGGUACCAGCAGCAGUCUGUCUCUAUGGGACAACCUCUACAAGGAUGCCAUUUUAUUAAGCAGCAGCAAGCCUGGCAGUGGCACGAACUCCCGCUCGGCGCCUCUGGGAGGAGCGGCGUCGGCCACGUGAAGCUCUUCCAAUCGGUCCCACUUACGCGACGGUACUUCUGUGUGAAGACGCGGCCAACCUCUUCCCCGUGACGCAACCGAGGCGAGACUCGGAGGGCUGCGAUCACAAUAUUUAACACACCCACCGUGGAUGAACCCUCGGAAGAGAAGACGAGGCGGCGUGAACGGGGGAAGAGGCGUAAGUGGAG